rnacentral:rRNA from 1 species
AAUAGAUACCCGGGUAGUCCAUGCCGUAAAACGUUGGGCACUAGGUGUGGGACUCACUCAACGGGUUCCGUGCCGUAGCUAACGCAUUAAGUACCCCGCCUGGGGAGUACGGCCGCAAGGCUAAAACUCAAAGGAAUUGACGGGGGGCCCGCACAAGCAGCGGAGCAUGUUGCUUAAUUCGAGGCAACGCGAAGAACCUUACCUGGGUUUGACAUGUACGGAAAAGCCGCAGAGAUGCGGUGUCCUUUUGGGCCGUACACAGGUGGUGCAUGGUUGUCGUCAGCUCGUGUCGUGAGAUGUUGGGUUAAGUCCCGCAACGAGCGCAACCCUUGUCCUAUGUUGCCAGCGGGUAAUGCCGGGGACUCGUAGGAGACUGCCGGGGGACAACUCGGAGGAAGGUGGGGAUGACGUCAAAUCAUCAUCGCCCCUUAUGUCCAGGGCCGCAAACAUGCUACAAUGGCCAGUACAAAGGGCUGCUAUACCGCGAGGUUGAGCGAAUCCCAUAAAGCUGGUCUCAGUUCGGAUUGGAGUCUGCAACUCGACU